rnacentral:rRNA from 1 species
CAGUAGCCACGGUAAUACGAAGGGUGCAAGCGUUAAUCGGAAUUACUGGGCGUAAAGCGUGCGUAGGCGGUGAGUUAAGUCUGCUGUGAAAGCCCUGGGCUCAACCUGGGAAUUGCAGUGGAUACUGGGUCACUAGAGUGUGGUAGAGGAUAGUGGAAUUUCCGGUGUAGCAGUGAAAUGCGUAGAGAUCGGAAGGAACAUCUGUGGCGAAGGCGACUAUCUGGGCCAACACUGACACUGAGGCACGAAAGCGUGGGGAGCAAACAGGAUUAGAUACCCGCGUAGUCCCUGUCUCUUAUAC